CUCACAUUCUGCUGAACAGGGGAAGCAGCCAGGAGGGGUGCUGGAGGCCAAGAUUUGCAAAACUGGCUGAUGUUAAGGCGCUGUGUGGAACGCAGCUGAGGACAGCUGGGGGGGACACACCAGCAUCCUCAGGGGGUGCCUGGGGUCCAGCCUGGAUGUGGCAGCCACCGGCACCAUGGGCUCGGUGCAGCGCUCUGAGAAGGGCAGAGCAGACCACAGCAAGCACAGCAGUAUAACCAUCAAAUAUGGCAAGCAUCAGGAACAGACUGAAGCAUGGAGAAUGGCAGAGAUCUAAGGGAUGUAAUGAGACACCAGCACCCUUUCCUCCCUGCAGCCCCCAGCCCAAGCCCUCCGCCUUGCCAGCCCUUCCCGGCUGUCCCGCUCCUGGGGGAGGGAGGGCAACCGACCUGGACAGUCCUCCUGGGAGGCAAAUAUUGAAUGAAGUGGUGAACGUUGCUUUGGACAAACUCGCUCAGGAAAAUUCCUUCAGGGUUUUAGCUUGCUGGUCUGUAAAGGGAAGUUGUGAAGGUCAAACAUGUUUCAUGUCGUUCUUCUGUGUGCUCGGACUGACCGGUUCCGGAUGCACUUGGGAGGGGACACAGCACUGGCUACCCUAUCUGCAUGAGAAUAAGAGCUCUCCUGUGAAAAUGUGCAUGACUGCUUUUUGGAAGAGAUGUAAAAUGGAGGUCUUAGCCAUUUGUUGUCACUGAAGAUCCCAUGGCUUUUUUUAGAAGAUCGGAGCCAUUAGCUCUGGUGUCCUGGCUCCCUCCAGCCCCACUAACUGUUGCUCACCUGAUGCUGAUCACCUUCAUCUGGGGCCACUUUCUGCCCUGCCUGUCCCAGGGCUGUGCAAUCGCAUCAGUGGCCAGGACCCUCCCACAAGAAGGAAGUCUUCAAGAAAAUUCCACAUUGAGUUUUGGAUCAGGAAGGUUUGCUGGGACUCAGAGGGAUGCAAAUGGCUCCAAGGCUCCAAAGUUGCCCAAUCCUGGCCAUUGAGAAGAGUACCCAGCCCAGGCUCAUCCCACACAGCUGCAGUGGUUGACUAUUAGCUGGGAGUACAGCUGUGUGUCUACAAGAUGAGUUCUUGUCCAAAUAGGAAAGAGACCCUGCCAUUUGCUUCCUGAUGCAGAAAUAUCUGAAAAAGGAGUUUGGCAAACAAAAUUGGAGGUAUCUGCUCUUCUCUCUUGCUUUGCCUCUCUCCAUGCUGCAGCCAGAAGGGAUGCUGGGAAGCAGGAAUGCUACUUUUGCAGCCAGGUUUCAGAAGAUCCCAGCUUGGAUGUUACAAUGGAGCUGCACACAGGAAUGACUGAAGGAGAACAAAAGUCAUACUCAAAUGUCUUAGAUAGCAAGAAAGAAUUUUCCUCCAAGACAGUAUUCUGAAGCUUUGCCAAGGAAGAUGGAUAAUGUCCUUCGAUCAUCUUCACUCCUCCUGCUUUGCCUCUAGCCCUGGCUAUUCUCCACUGUGAUCUGCUCACCCUUAAGGCAUCAUGGGAGGAAAGGACCCAUAUUUGGUUUGGUACUGGGUUUUCCUUUAGUUCCAUUUCUUUAUCUCUGCAUUUUAAAUGUGCCCUCACGGAACCACCUGCCUUUGUUAGGAGUUUCCUGAACUCCACACUGUGCCAAAGCUGGAAGGGACUUAUCCCAGAGCUCAGUGGACUGUUUGCUUCUGAGGCAUCUGGAAGGCUGCCUGUCGUGGUUCUUCCAUCUCCU
rnacentral:lncRNA from 1 species